UACGUAGGGUGCAAGCGUUGUCCGGAAUUAUUGGGCGUAAAGAGCUCGUAGGCGGUUUGUCGCGUCUGCUGUGAAAACUCGGGGCUUAACCCCGGGCCUGCAGUGGGUACGGGCAGACUAGAGUGCGGUAGGGGAGACUGGAAUUCCUGGUGUAGCGGUGAAAUGCGCAGAUAUCAGGAGGAACACCGGUGGCGAAGGCGGGUCUCUGGGCCGAACCUGACGCUGAGGCGCGAAGGCUAGGGGAGCGAACGGG
rnacentral:rRNA from 1 species